rnacentral:rRNA from 1 species
CCUACGGGAGGCAGCAGUCGAGAAUUAUUCACAAUGGGGGAAACCCUGGUGGUGCGACGCCGCGUGGGGGAAUGAAGGUCUUCGGAUUGUAAACCCCUGUCAUGUGGGAGCAAAUUAAAAAGAUAGUACCACAAGAGGAAGAGACGGCUAACUCUGUGCCAGCAGCCGCGGUAAUACAGAGGUCUCAAGCGUUGUUCGGAAUCACUGGGCGUAAAGCGUGCGUAGGCUGUUUCGUAAGUCGUGUGUGAAAGGCGCGGGCUCAACCCGCGGACGGCACAUGAUACUGCGAGACUAGAGUAAUGGAGGGGGAACCGGAAUUCUCGGUGUAGCAGUGAAAUGCGUAGAUAUCGAGAGGAACACUCGUGGCGAAGGCGGGUUCCUGGACAUUAACUGACGCUGAGGCACGAAGGCCAGGGGAGCGAAAGGGAUUAGAUACCCGGGUAGUC